rnacentral:rRNA from 1 species
GAUGAACGCUGACAGAAUGCUUAACACAUGCAAGUCAACUUGAACUUCGGUUUGGGUGGCGGACGGGUGAGUAACGCGUAAAGAACUUGCCUCACAGCUAGGGACAACAUUUGGAAACGAAUGCUAAUACCUGAUAUUAUGAUUAUAUGGCAUCGUAUAAUUAUGAAAGCUAUAUGCGCUGUGAGAGAGCUUUGCGUCCCAUUAGCUAGUUGGAGAGGUAACAGCUCACCAAGGCGAUGAUGGGUAGCCGGCCUGAGAGGGUGAUCAGCCACAAGGGGACUGAGACACGGCCCUUACUCCUACGGGAGGAAGCAGUGGGGAAUAUUGGACAAUGGACCGAGAGUCUGAUCCAGCAAUUCUGUGUGCACGAUGAAGUUUUUCGGAAUGUAAAGUGCUUUCAGUUGGGAAGAAAAAAAUGACGGUACCAACAGAAGAAGUGACGGCUAAAUACGUG